GACGAACGCUGGCGGCGUGCUUAACACAUGCAAGUCGAGCGGAAAGGCCCUUCGGGGUACUCGAGCGGCGAACGGGUGAGUAACACGUGAGUAACCUGCCCCAGACUUUGGGAUAACCCUCGGAAACGGGGGCUAAUACCGGAUACGACACAGCUUCGCAUGGGGUCUGUGUGGAAAGUUUUUCGGUUUGGGAUGGGCUCGCGGCCUAUCAGCUUGUUGGUGGGGUGAUGGCCUACCAAGGCGACGACGGGUAGCCGGCCUGAGAGGGCGACCGGCCACACUGGGACUGAGACACGGCCCAGACUCCUACUGGAGGCAGCAGUGGGGAAUAUUGCACAAUGGGCGGAAGCCUGAUGCAGCGACGCCGCGUGAGGGAUGACGGCCUUCGGGUUGUAAACCUCUUUCAGCAGGGACGAAGCGUAAGUGACGGUACCUGCAGAAGAAGCGCCGGCCAACUACGUG
rnacentral:rRNA from 1 species